rnacentral:rRNA from 1 species
UACGUAGGGGCAAGCGUUGUCCGGAAUUAUUGGGCGUAAAGAGCUCGUAGGCGGUUUGUCGCGUCUGCCGUGAAAGUCCGGGGCUCAACUCCGGAUCUGCGGUGGGUACGGGCAGACUAGAGUGAUGUAGGGGAGACUGGAAUUCCUGGUGUAGCGGUGAAAUGCGCAGAUAUCGAGAGGAACACCGUGGCGGCAAAGGCGG